AGAGUUUGAUCAUGGCUCAGAUUGAACGCUGGCGGCAUGCUUUACACAUGCAAGUCGAGCGGCAGCGCGUGCUUGGGCAACUGAGCUGGCGGCGAGCGGCGAACGGGUGAGUAAUAGAUAGGAACGUGUCCGGGAGUGGGGGAUAACUCGCCGAAAGGCGAGCUAAUUCCGCAUAACAUUCCUUGGACUCCGGUCUGAGGAUUCAAAGGCGUAAGUCGUCGGAGGUGGAGCCCGCGCACGAUUAGCUAGUUGGUGAGGUAAUGGCUCACCAAGGCUAUGAUCGUUAGCUGGUCUGAGAGGAUGGCCAGCCACACUGGAACUGAGACACGGUCCAGACUCCUACGGGAGGCAGCAGUGGGGAAUCUUGCACAAUGGGCGAAAGCCUGAUGCAGCGACGCCGCGUGGGGGAUGAAGCUUCUCGGAGUGUAAACCCCUUUCGACCGGGACGAAUACCUCGCAAGAGGGGUGACGGUACCGGUAUAAGAAGCCCCGGCUAACUACGUGCCAGCAGCCGCGGUAAGACGUAGGGGGCCAGCGUUGCUCGGAAUUACUGGGUGUAAAGGGUUCGUAGGCGGUGUAGCAAGUCGGGAGUGAAAUCUCUGGGCUCAACCCAGGGGGCUGCUUCCGAAACUGCUGUGCUAGAGUGUGGGAGAGGCGCGUGGAAUUGCAGGUGUAGCGGUGAAAUGCGUAGAUAUCUGCAGGAACACCCGUGGCGAAAGCGGCGCGCUGGACCACUACUGACGCUGAGGAACGAAAGCUAGGGGAGCAAACAGGAUUAGAUACCCUAGUAGUCC
rnacentral:rRNA from 1 species